CAAACUGGUUCCGGUUCACGCGUCCUCUCCGGUUGCCUGACCUUUCCAGGUUACACAGUGCCGGAAACAUGGCCGUGUCCCGGCAAAAAUGGCGCCGCGAAGGGACGACCGGAUGCGGCAUUGUGCUCGUGUCUUGGAAGGAAGCAAUGAACGUGCCAGCAGGUGCAGUGAGCUCCAUCUCUGUGCUCGCUUCUGCGCCAAGGUCUGCAGCUGCAAACAGUGUGGCCGUGCUCACUGCGGCCCCCUUUCUUCUUCUUUUCACAUGUGCUCACGCGCGGCAUAGUGCGCCUGCUUCUUUCUCAGCUUUUACAGCCUCUAAACACUAUAGCACGUGGAGCGGCACUGUACUCCUCCCCCCUCUUUUUGCUCCCGUUGAGCCUCGUUCAUAUUUGUCUCCUCGCUGUUGAAAGCCGCCGGUGUCUCCGUGUUCUUCUUUCACCGCUGCACGCUGCUCGUUGCUCCGUACUACUCGCCGUAGCUUCCUCAUGCGUGCCUGAGCUCCACGAAACGCACCGUCGUCUCCUUGUUCUUCUUUCGAAGCUCCUCGUUGCCUGAAGCUCUUCGUAUUCGUGGCUCUCGCGUCUGGUUCGCCGAGCGUGCUUUAGCUUGUCAUUGUGCACUGCCCAUAACAUAUCCGUGGCAAGUUGCUAUAUCGGUGAACUCGCAACCACUGCGCUUAACUGCUAAUCAGCUAACAAAGGAGAACUUCGUUGGUUUCUGUUUGUUUCUACGAAUCUGCAACACUCCUCUCCUCCUUUAGGUGGACCCGAUCAGCAUCCACAAGGCACAUUCAAAAAACAGAAACCACUAUUUGCCCAAUCCGAAGUGGUAUUGAACAUAUCUACAGAAGAUCUUCUGUCAGAAACUUCUGAACCUAAUACACUAGCUGAAAUUUCAGCUAAUUCAGAAGGUGAAUCCCAAAUCCACAUACCUAGAUUUCAGCUGACACUUCCAGUGCUAAGUGUAGCUGUGACGCUAACGCUGCAAAUCUCAUUCGAUAGUCAACUUAUGGAAGACAAAUAUAAGGCAGUCCUUCCGAUCUUAAGAGCUUUUAGCCUGGCCACAAUAAUAACUGAAUCGUUCAUAAAACUGCUGCACUUUUUCUUUGUCCACUGUGGUCUCAGAUUGCCUAACUCACCGGCAUGGGUGCAGAGUCUCCAAAACUACAGAAACCCACACAUUCCAUCUUGGUUAUAUCCACUUCAAUGGGUGUGUCUCACAGCUAUUAGAAACACGAAACUCUGUAUCACAUUACCAACAUUUAUCUGGACAGUUAGCUUCAUCAUUGCCUUACCUGAAUCUCAUCCAACCCUUAAGGCGAAAGCAUACAACACUCUCCUACUACAACUGAUACCUCCUUUUCUCUUAACACUGGCACACUGCAUCCAGGCUGUUUUAACCAUAUUUGAGUAUUACCUCAUUGCUUUAUUCCGCUACGCUAAAAGACGCCUUUGCCAUCGUUGGAACUGCUGUUUACCAAAGGCGUUCAAGGGCACAUCACAGCGGUCGUCCCAUGGACCUGCAGCUAAUUGUUAAGACUAACUCCACCAAGAUUUAACCGAAGUAGUAUUAGACCCACUUUUAGCUAUAUCUGCUGAACCGAGCAUUUGUAAUAUUUAUGCUAUGUAGUAGUACUUGCCACUCCAACUUCCAUCGUUCCAGUGAAGUAGUAUUAGACCCACUUUUAGUUAUAUUUGUUGAGCCGGACAUUUAAAAUAUUUGGGCUAUGUAAUAGUACUUGUUGUUUCAGUUUGCAUUGUAUUAAUGAACUGGCAAAUUAGUUAGCCUAUCUCAA